rnacentral:rRNA from 1 species
CCUACGGGAGGCAGCAGUGGGGAAUAUUGCACAAUGGGGGGAACCCUGAUGCAGCGACGCCGCGUGGGUGAAGGAGUACUUCGGUACGUAAAGCCCUAUCAGCAGGAAGGAAAAUGACGGUACCUGACUAAGAAGCCCCGGCUAACUCCGUGCCAGCAGCCACGGUAAUACGUAGGGGGCAAGCGUUCUCCGGAUUUACUGGGUGUAAAGGGCACGUAGACGGCAGGGCAGGUCCGGAGUGAAAGCCGGGGGCUCAACCCGGGGACGGCUUGGGAAACUGGAAGGCUGGAGUGCGGGAGGGGCGGGCGGAAUUCCGGGUGUAGCAGUGAAAUGCGUAGAGAUCAGGAGGAACACCGGCGGCGAAGGCGGCCUGCUGGACCGUAACUGACGUUGAGGCUCGAAAGCGUGGGGAGCAAACAGGAUUAGAUACCCGAGUAGUC